rnacentral:rRNA from 1 species
GACGAACGCUGGCGGCGUGCUUAACACAUGCAAGUCGAACGGUGAAGCGCCUUCCUUUUUGGUGGGUGUGGAUGAGUGGCGAACGGGUGAGUAACACGUGAGUAACCUGCCCCCUUCUUCUGGAUAACCGCAUGAAAGUGUGGCUAAUACGGGAUAUUCUGGGUCUGUCGCAUGAUGGGUCUGGGAAAGAUAUUGUUUCGGUGGGGGAUGGGCUCGCGGCCUAUCAGCUUGUUGGUGGGGUGAUGGCCUACCAAGGCGGUGACGGGUAGCCGGCCUGAGAGGGUGGACGGUCACACUGGGACUGCGACACGGCCCAGACUCCUACGGGAGGCAGCAGUGGGGAAUAUUGCACAAUGGGCGCAAGCCUGAUGCAGCGCCGCCGCGUGAGGGAUGGAGGCCUGCGGGUUGUGAACCUCUUUCGCCAGUGAAGCAGGCCUGCCUCGUUUGUGGGUGGGUUGACGGUAGCUGGAUAAGAAGCGCCGGCUAACUACGUG